rnacentral:rRNA from 1 species
AACGAACGCUGGCGGCAGGCCUAACACAUGCAAGUCGAGCGGACCCUUCGGGGUUAGCGGCGGACGGGUGAGUAACGCGUGGGAAUAUGCCCUUCUCUACGGAAUAGUCCUGGGAAACUGGGGGUAAUACCGUAUACGCCCUUUGGGGGAAAGAUUUAUCGGGGAAGGAUUAGCCCGCGUUGGAUUAGGUAGUUGGUGGGGUAAUGGCCUACCAAGCCGACGAUCCAUAGCUGGUUUGAGAGGAUGAUCAGCCACACUGGGACUGAGACACGGCCCAGACUCCUACGGGAGGCAGCAGUGGGGAAUCUUAGACAAUGGGGGCAACCCUGAUGUAGCCAUGCCGCGUGAGUGAUGAAGGCCUUAGGGUUGUAAAGCUCUUUCAGCUGGGAAGAUAAUGACGGUACCAGCAGAAGAAGCCCCGGCUAACUCCGUG